rnacentral:rRNA from 10 species
GCCACACUGGGACUGAGACACGGCCCAGACUCCUACGGGAGGCAGCAGUGGGGAAUAUUGCACAAUGGGCGGAAGCCUGAUGCAGCGACGCCGCGUGAGGGAUGACGGCCUUCGGGUUGUAAACCUCUUUCAGUAGGGAAGAAGCGAAAGUGACGGUACCUGCAGAAGAAGCGCCGGCUAACUACGUGCCAGCAGCCGCGGUAAUACGUAGGGCGCAAGCGUUAUCCGGAUUUAUUGGGCGUAAAGAGCUCGUAGGCGGUUUGUCGCGUCUGCCGUGAAAGUCCGAGGCUCAACCUCGGAUCUGCGGUGGGUACGGGCAGACUAGAGUGAUGUAGGGGAGACUGGAAUUCCUGGUGUAGCGGUGAAAUGCGCAGAUAUCAGGAGGAACACCGAUGGCGAAGGCAGGUCUCUGGGCAUUUACUGACGCUGAGGAGCGAAAGCAUGGGGAGCGAACAGGAUUAGAUACCCUGGUAGUCC